rnacentral:rRNA from 1 species
GGGGAAUUUUGCGCAACGGGCGAAGGCCUGACGCAGCAACGCCGCGUGUGUGACGAAGGCCCUAGGGUUGUAAAGCACUGUGGGAAGGGAAGAAAAAACGGGGGUUGUACCCCGUCUUGACGGUACCUUGUUAGAAAGCACCGGCUAACUCCGUGCCAGCAGCCGCGGUAAUACGGAGGGUGCAAGCGUUGUUCGGAAUUAUUGGGCGUAAAGGGCGUGUAGGUGGCUUGCCAAGUCUGGUGUGAAAGCCCACGGCUCAACCGUGGAACUGCAUUGGAAACUGGCAAGCUCGAGUGUUGGAGGGGGUCGCGGAAUUCCCGGUGUAGAGGUGAAAUUCGUAGAUAUCGGGAGGAACACCAGUGGCGAAGGCGGCGACCUGGCCAAUCACUGACACUGAGACGCGAAAGCGUGGGGAGCAAAC